rnacentral:rRNA from 1 species
UACAGAGGGUGCGAGCGUUGUCCGGAAUCACUGGGCGUAAAGGGUGCGUAGGCGGCGCGGAAAGUUGGGUGUGAAAUCCCUCGGCUCAACCGAGGAACUGCGCCCAAAACUGCCGUGCUCGAGGGAGAUAGAGGUGAGCGGAACUUAGGGUGGAGCGGUGAAAUGCGUUGAUAUCCUAAGGAACACCGGUGGCGAAAGCGGCUCACUGGAUCUCUUCUGACGCUGAGGCACGAAAGCUAGGGUAGCGAACGGG